GACGGAGGGUGCAAGCGUUGUUCGGAAUUACUGGGCGUAAAGCGCGGGCAGGUGGCCUUUUAAGUCCUUUGUGAAAUUCCGGAGCUCAACUCCGGAUGUGCAUAGGAUACUGGAAGGCUAGAGACUGGUAGAGGCGAGCGGAAUUCCUGGUGUAGCGGUGGAAUGCGUAGAUAUCGGGAGGAACACCUGUGGCGAAGGCGGCCCCCUGGUUGGAUACUGACGCUGAUACGCGAAAGCGUGGGGAGCAAACAGG
rnacentral:rRNA from 1 species